GCAUAACCUAGAUUGUGAGAAAUUGGGGGCAAGGCCUGCUGCUACGACUGACCAGCUUUCAGGCCCUGUUAAUGUCAACGGGACUGUUCGCUGUGAGUAAGGAUGUCACACCCUGGAGCUAAUGAUGCACAGCACAAUGGGGUCCCGGGCCUGGAUUAGAGCUCCUUGGCACUGUGGUAAGGCAAAACCCACAGGGAGAUGUUUUUGUAAAGUGGAGUAACAAACGAGGGGGUAAUUAUCAUUGUAUGGACUAGGGCUGGUACCGACUGGUUGUUGGAUCAGGACUGGAGUUAGACUCUAAUGGGUGGGGAAGAGAGAGAGGCUGCAACAUUAAAACAAAUCACGUGGUUUGACUUGGUAGGUUAAGGACCUGGCCUGCUGCUUCCAGGAGGACUUUGACUUUGGGCCGGCUCGGCUAUCGUUACCCACACUGAGUAAUGCUUUAGGGGCAAAAUUGUAAAGCUAUUUGGGCACCUGAUAUGUCAGAAUGCAGCUGAUCUGCAAAUGUCAAAGGGGGGCUGAAGGUCACAAUGGCCAUAAAUUAGGCCUUGGCUUACCACCUAUGGAGUUAGAGGAUCCCUGGCAUGCUAACAGUGUGGCCCUUGAACAUUCAACCGGUUAGCCCAAUGCAGCCUGUCAUCAACCCGCCCUCCUGAACUGAGCCCCUACCUCAUUCAGUAAACUGGAUAGCCUGUGCACUGAGGAUGACUCAGGAUCAUGUAGUGGAGGCAGCUGUCUGUAGGACUCCUACCUCAUCCAUUGCAGAAGUUGGAAGCUUGUUCCACUGAGAAAAACAACACAGGGCCUGAUCCUGAGAAGUGCUGAGCACCCCCCACAUCGUUGGGAG